rnacentral:rRNA from 1 species
GAUGAACGCUGGCGGCGUGCCUAAUACAUGCAAGUCGAGCGAACGGACGAGAAGCUUGCUUUUCUGAUGUUAGCGGCGGACGGGUGAGUAACACGUGGAUAACCUACCUAUAAGACUGGGAUAACUUCGGGAAACCGGAGCUAAUACCGGAUAAUAUUUUGAACCGCAUGGUUCAAAAGUGAAAGACGGUCUUGCUGUCACUUAUAGAUGGAUCCGCGCUGCAUUAGCUAGUUGGUAAGGUAACGGCUUACCAAGGCAACGAUGCAUAGCCGACCUGAGAGGGUGAUCGGCCACACUGGAACUGAGACACGGUCCAGACUCCUACGGGAGGCAGCAGUAGGGAAUCUUGCGCAAUGGGCGAAAGCCUGACGGAGCAACGCCGCGUGAGUGAUGAAGGUCUUCGGAUCGUAAAGCUCUGUUAUUAGGGAAGAACAUAUGUGUAAGUAACUGUGCACAUCUUGACGGUACCUAAUCAGAAAGCCACGGCUAACUACGUG